UACGGGGGGAGCAAGCGUUGUUCGGAUUUACUGGGCGUAAAGGGCGCGUAGGCGGUCAGCACAAGUCAGUUGUGAAAUCUCCGGGCUUAACUCGGAAAGGUCAACUGAUACUGUGCGACUAGAGUGCGGAAGGGGCAACUGGAAUUCUUGGUGUAGCGGUGAAAUGCGUAGAUAUCAAGAGGAACACCUGCGGCGAAGGCAGCUCGCUAGGACGGUACUGACGCUGAGACGCGAAAGCGUGGGGAGCGAACAGG
rnacentral:rRNA from 1 species